rnacentral:rRNA from 1 species
CCUACGGGGGGCUGCAGUAGGGAAUAUUGGGCAAUGGACGAAAGUCUGACCCAGCCAUGCCGCGUGCAGGAUGACUGCCCUAUGGGUUGUAAACUGCUUUUCUAUGGGAAGAAACACUCAUACGUGUAUGAACUUGACGGUACCAUAGGAAUAAGGAGCGGCUAACUCCGUGCCAGCAGCCGCGGUAAUCCGGAGGAUCCAAGCGUUGUCGGGAGUCAUGGGGUUGUAGGGGUACGUCUAAGGACGAGGUGAAAUCUUGCGGCUCAACCGUAGAAUUGCCUUUGAAACUGGUAGUCUUGAGUUCGGUCGAGGUGGAUGGAAUGUGUCGUGUAGCGGUGAAAUGCUUAGAUAUGACCCAGAACACCAAUUGCGAAGGCAGUUCACUAGACCGAUACUGACGCUGAGGCACGAAAGCGUGGGGAGCGAACAGGAUUAGAUACCCCAGUAGUC